UUUCGGGUAGCAAUAUCUGAAUGAGAGUAGCGCACGGGUGCGUAACACGUAUGCAACCUACCUAUGACUGGGGGGAUAGCCUUCCGAAAGGAAGAUUAAUACCGCAUAAUGAUCUGGAGAGGCAUCUCUUCGGGUCCAAACCUCCGGAGGUUAUAGAUGAGCAUGCGUGACAUUAGCUAGUUGGUGAGGUAACGGCUCACCAAGGCUACGAUGUCUAGGGGGUCUGAGAGGAUGAUCCCCCACACUGGUACUGAGACACGGACCAGACUCCUACGGGAGGCAGCAGUAAGGAAUAUUGGACAAUGGCCGCAAGGCUGAUCCAGACAUGCCGCGUGCAGGAUGAAGGUGCUCUGCAUUGUAAACUGCUUUUGUUCGGGAAUAAACCCCUCUACGUGUAGAGGGCUGAAUGUACCGAAAGAAUAAGGGACGGCUAACUUCGUGCCAGCAGCCGCGGUAAUACGAAGGUCCCAAGCGUUAUCCGGAUUUAUUGGGUUUAAAGGGUGCGUAGGCGGGUUAUUAAGUCAGUGGUGAAAGCCUUCAGCUUAACUGAAGAAUUGCCAUUGAUACUGAUGAUCUUGAGUAUGAUUGAGGUGGGCGGAAUGUGUCAUGUAGCGGUGAAAUGCUUAGAUAUGACACAGAACACCGAUUGCGAAGGCAGCUCACUAAGUCAUAACUGACGCUGAUGCACGAAAGCGUGGGGAGCAAACAGGAUUAGAUACCCUGGUAGUCCACGCCCUAAACGAUGAUCACUCGAUGUGUGCGAUACACUGUACGCGUCUGAGC
rnacentral:rRNA from 1 species